GACGAACGCUGGCGGCGUGCCUAACACAUGCAAGUCGAGCGGAGAUUAUAGCAAUGUAAUCUUAGCGGCGGACGGGUGAGUAACGCGUGGGUAACCUGCCUUAUACAGGGGGAUAACACUGGGAAACUAGUGCUAAUACCGCAUAACAUAGAGGAGCGGCAUCGCUUUUCUAUCAAAGGAGCAAUCCGGUAUAAGAUGGACCCGCGUCCGAUUAGCUAGUUGGUGGGGUAAAGGCCUACCAAGGCGACGAUCGGUAGCCGAACUGAGAGGUUGAUCGGCCACAUUGGGACUGAGACACGGCCCAGACUCCUACGGGAGGCAGCAGUGGGGAAUAUUGCGCAAUGGGGGAAACCCUGACGCAGCAACGCCGCGUGAAGGAUGAAGGCUUUCGGGUUGUAAACUUCUUUGAUGAGGGACGAAAAAAAUGACGGUACCUCAAAAACAAGCCACGGCUAACUACGUGCCAGCAGCCGCGGUAAUACGUAGGUGGCGAGCGUUGUCCGGAAUUACUGGGUGUAAAGGGCGUGUAGGCGGGAGAGUAAGUCAGAUGUGAAAUUCCCGGGCUCAACUCGGGCGCUGCAUCUGAAACUAUUUUUCUUGAGUGCUGGAGAGGAAAGCGGAAUUCCUAGUGUAGCGGUGAAAUGCGUAGAUAUUAGGAGGAACACCAGUGGCGAAGGCGGCUUUCUGGACAGUAACUGACGCUGAGGCGCGAAAGCGUGGGGAGCAAACAGGAUUAGAUACCCUGGUAGUCCACGCUGUAAACGAUGGAUACUAGGUGUAGGAGGUAUCGACCCCUUCUGUGCCGGAGUUAACACAAUAAGUAUCCCACCUGGGGAGUACGGUCGCAAGGUUGAAACUCAAAGGAAUUGACGGGGGCCCGCACAAGCAGUGGAGUAUGUGGUUUAAUUCGAAGCAACGCGAAGAACCUUACCAGGGCUUGACAUCCCUCGAAGUUGGUAGAGAUACCAAC
rnacentral:rRNA from 1 species